AGAUUGAACGCUGGCGGCAUGCCUUACACAUGCAAGUCGAACGGCAGCACGGUUGGGGUAACCUAAUUGGUGGCGAGUGGCGAACGGGUGAGUAAUAUAUCGGAACGUACCCUAGAGUGGGGGAUAACGCAGGCGAAAGUUGCGCUAAUACCGCAUACGAUCUAAGGGAUGAAAGCGGGGGACUAGCAAUAGCCUCGUGCUCAUGGGAGCGGCCGAUAUCUGAUUAGCUAGUUGGUGGGUAAAGGCCCACAAGGCGAUGAUCAGUAGCUGGUCUGAGAGGACGACCAGCCACACUGGAACUGAGACACGGUCCAGACUCUACGGGAGGCAGCAGGUGGGAAUUUUUGGACAAAGUGGGGGACAACCGUGAUCCAGCAAGUGCCGCGUGAGUAGAAGAAGCUUAGGUGUAAGUACGUC
rnacentral:rRNA from 1 species